CCCUUAGAUGUUCUGGGCCGCACGCGUGCUACACUGAGUGGAUCAGCGGGUCAGGUUGCGCGAAAGCGUUUCCUAAUCUUUAAAUCCGCUCGUGAUGGGGAUUGACGGUUGCAAUUUUCUGUCAUGAACGAGGAAUACCUUGUAAGCGCGGGUCAUCAUCCCGCGCUGAAUACGUCCCUGCCCUUUGUACACACCGCCCGUCGCUCUUACCGAUUGGGUGUGCUGGUGAAAUGUUCGGAUCGGCCGUUUGUCGCGGUUUCCGCGUCAUGUGGCUGAGAAGUUCAUUAAACCCUCCCACCUAGAGGAAGGAGAAGUCGUAACA
rnacentral:rRNA from 1 species